CCCCCCCUGCACCAUCAGCCCCUUCGCCUAAUUCUCCUCCACCUCCUGGAAACUUCGCUGCUGCCAAGGUUGAUAGAGUUAUCCUCGCUGGAACUGUACUUGCAGGAACUUUCUUGGCCUUUACUUUGGCCUAGGAAGUGGUUUGAAGUUGCAUCAUCAUCUUAAAUUAGAUUCAUGGAGCUGGGUCGAUGAGAUCUGUUAUUUCUGUUAUUUGUUGGUUGACUAUCAGUGGUUUCUUUCUUUCUUCUGAUACUUAUUGUUUCUUCUUCUUCUUCUUCUUCUUCUUC
rnacentral:misc_RNA from 1 species